GUGGGGAAUAUUGGACAAUGGGGGGAACCCUGAUCCAGCCAUGCCGCGUGUGUGAAGAAGGCCUUUUGGUUGUAAAGCACUUUAAGCGAGGAGGAGAGCACUCUUGUUAAUAGCAAGAUGUGUUGGACGUUACUCGCAGAAUAAGCACCGGCUAACUCUGUGCCAGCAGCCGCGGUAAUACAGAGGGUGCGAGCGUUAAUCGGAUUUACUGGGCGUAAAGCGUGCGUAGGCGGCUAAUUAAGUCGGAUGUGAAAUCCCCGAGCUCAACUUGGGAAUUGCAUUCGAUACUGGUUAGCUAGAGUAUGGGAGAGGAUGGUAGAAUUCCAGGUGUAGCGGUGAAAUGCGUAGAGAUCUGGAGGAAUACCGAUGGCGAAGGCAGCCAUCUGGCCUAAUACUGACGCUGAGGUACGAAAGCAUGGGGAGCAAACAGGAUUAGAAACCCUAGUAGUCC
rnacentral:rRNA from 1 species